GAGUGGAAAGGAAAGUUCAAGUCACUAAUUCCCGGUAUUUUUGAUAGCAGGUGACUGGGUGGGUGUCUAAGAGACUGGUGAAGCAGACCUCGCAUCAAAGGCAUCUAGAUAGCUGCCCUCUUCUUAACCCGAACUUUACUUUAGAACUCACUCCUACUGUUGCUACUAUCUGAACUAACUCCUACUGUGAAAAUAGAGUCUCUUUGGGUGCAAAUGAAAGGAGAGUCUCUUAGUUUUUGGCACUGGAGCAAGGGUUCAUAUAGCAGACAUGGUACCGAGUCGAGUCAACAAACACUAUUGGAUAAAAGCAAGGAGCGGAAGUCUUGGAUCCGUAGAGCAAGAUGAUCUCUGCAGCUUUGUCUCUUUCUCGGAUAUUUGGAUUUCUUAGGAGAAUCAGAGGCCAUAUCAGCAGUAAGCAAUGCCACUUUCGAGUCGUAAACACCUAUGUGCGCGCGAUACGAUUAAGAAAGGGCCACAUCCACUUUUCCUGAGGCCAAACACUGGACUUGCGCCUUAACCUUACUUUCGAACGGAAACAUCUCUUUAAUCUUAUCUGACUACUGGAACUGUGCUUGUUCUUAUGUUUGAUUAAUAGUUUUGUUAGGAAGUAAACUGCAAGCAAGCAACCACUCUAUAUUUGUAGCGAGUAGCGAGAGGGGCGAGUGAAGUGAGGCUUCAUAGGUAAUUUCCCAUCCCAUCUUACUAAAGAACCAAGACACUACUCUGUUUGUCUCUAUCUGUGAUUAUUGAUUAUUAUAAGAUUUCAUUUACAAGUGAAAAGAGACUAGGUUCAAAGAUACUAGCAUAAGUGAAAUAAAUAAAGUAGAGGAAGCUAGUUGAAGCAGAAUCACCGAGCUAGCGCAUUCCAAGUAUGAGUAUUUUCACACCUGAUCUGAUUUAUAGUUGCGCGCGGGAAGAACUAAUUAAGAAAGGGCAAUUGUCUAGGAAAGUUGC
rnacentral:lncRNA from 1 species